AUUGAACGCUGGCGGCAUGCUUUACACAUGCAAGUCGAACGGUAACAGGCCGCAAGGUGCUGACGAGUGGCGAACGGGUGAGUAAUGCAUCGGAACGUGCCCAGUCGUGGGGGAUAACUGCUCGAAAGAGCAGCUAAUACCGCAUACGAUCUAUGGAUGAAAGCGGGGGACCGUAAGGCCUCGCGCGAUUGGAGCGGUCGAUGUCAGAUUAGGUAGUUGGUGGGGUAAAGGCUCACCAAGCCAACGAUCUGUAGCUGGUCUGAGAGGACGACCAGCCACACUGGGACUGAGACACGGCCCAGACUCCUACGGGAGGCAGCAGUGGGGAAUUUUGGACAAUGGGGGCCACCCUGAUCCAGCAAUGCCGCGUGCAGGAAGAAGGCCUUCGGGUUGUAAACUGCUUUUGUACGGAACGAAACGGUCUGGGUUAAUACCCUGGGCUAAUGACGGUACCGUAAGAAUAAGCACCGGCUAACUACGUGCCAGCAGCCGCAGUAAAAC
rnacentral:rRNA from 1 species